rnacentral:rRNA from 1 species
GACGAACGCUGGCGGCGUGCUUAACACAUGCAAGUCGAACGGAAAGGCCCUGCUUGCAGGGUACUCGAGUGGCGAACGGGUGAGUAACACGUGGGUGAUCUGCCCUGCACUUCGGGAUAAGCCUGGGAAACUGGGUCUAAUACCGGAUAGGAGCCAUUUUUAGUGUGAUGGUUGGAAAGUUUUUUCGGUGUAGGAUGAGCUCGCGGCCUAUCAGCUUGUUGGUGGGGUAAUGGCCUACCAAGGCGGCGACGGGUAGCCGGCCUGAGAGGGUGGACGGCCACAUUGGGACUGAGGUACGGCCCAGACUCCGACGGGAGGCAGAAGUGGGGAAUAUUGCACAAUGGGCGCAAGCCUGAUGCAGAGACGCCGCGUGGGGGAUGACGGCCUUCGGGUUGAAAACUCCUUUCGCUAGGGACGAAGCUUUUUGUGACGGUACCUAGAUAAGAAGCACCGGCUAACUACGUG